UGAAUGUUAUUGGAAAGAAAAACUCAUGGA
rnacentral:piRNA from 1 species